CCCGCAUAACUGGUGUCAAACGUUUCCCUUUCAACAAUUUCACGCACUGUUUAACUCUCUUUUCAAAGUUCUUUUCAUCUUUCCCUCACGGUACUUGUUCGCUAUCGGUCUCUCGCCAAUAUUUAGCCUUAGAUGAAAUUUACCACCCAUUUUGAGCU
rnacentral:rRNA from 1 species